rnacentral:rRNA from 1 species
AAAAACAUUUUCUUUUUUAUAAAAGGUAGGCUCUGCUCAGUGAUAAGUUAAAUAGCCGCGGUAUCCCGACCGUGCUAAGGUAGCAUAGUAAUUUGUCUUUUAAUAGGAGGCUGGUAUGAAGGAGUUAACAAUACUUUAUCUUUUCUUCGUUUUUUUUAUAAUUUAAUAUUUUUAUAAAAAAGUAAAAAUAUACCAAAGGGACGAUAAGACCCUAUAAAACUUUAUAGAUCUUGGUGUUAAAAUUUAGAGAUUAAUUUAAAAAUCUAUUAAGCUGGGGCGGUAUUUAUAAUUCUAUAAAAAAUAUAACACAAAUAAGUGGCAGUUUAGAUCUUGUUUUAAAGUAGAAUAAGUUACUUUAGGGAUAACAGCACAAUUAUCUUUUAGAGAACUCAUCGAAGGGAUAGACUUGUGACCUCGAUGUUGAAUCGGAGAACCUCCAAGGAGCAGAAAAUUUGGAAGGGGGUCUGUUCGACCUUUAAACCUCCACGUGAUC